rnacentral:rRNA from 1 species
UGGGGAGUACGGCCGCAAGGUUAAAACUCAAAGGAAUUGACGGGACCGCACAAGCGGUGGAUGAUGUGGAUUAAUUCGAUGCAACGCGAAAAACCUUACCUACCCUUGACAUGUCCGGAAGCCUGAAGAGAUUUGGGUGUGCCCGAAAAGGGAGCCGGAACACAGGUGCUGCAUGGCUGUCGUCAGCUCGUGUCGUGAGAUGUUGGGUUAAGUCCCGCAACGAGCGCAACCCUUGUCGUUAAUUGCCAUCAUUUAGUUGGGCACUUUAACGAGACUGCCGGUGACAAACCGGAGGAAGGUGGGGAUGACGUCAAGUCCUCAUGGCCCUUAUGGGUAGGGCUUCACACGUCAUACAAUGGUCGGUACAGAGGGUUGCCAAGCCGCGAGGUGGAGCCAAUCCCAGAAAGCCGAUCGUAGUCCGGAUUGGAGGCUGCAACUCGCCUCCAUGAAGUCGGAAUCGCUAGUAAUCGCGGAUCAGCAUGUCGCGGUGAAUACGUUCCCGGGUCUUGUACACACC